AUGAUCGGCCCUUUCGAUAAACCCCCCUUCGAAGUGAAUCGAGUCAGCCCCAUCGGAGUGGCUACUAGGAAAUUUUCAGGUAAGAAACGCCUAAUAAUCAAUCUGUCAUCACCACAUAAUUCCACGGUCCCAAGCAUUAAUAGCUUGAUCCCCCUUGAUGAAUUUUCUCUCAAGUACCACGACAUAGAUCAGGCAGUCGAACUGAUUAAAAUUGCAGGUCAAGGAGCCUGGCUCGCAAAAAUAGACAUCACUUCUGCCUUCAAAGUGAUGCCUAUUCAUCCGGAUGCAUGGCAUUUCUUUGGGAUAAGAUGGCUUGGGAAAUUCUGUUUCGCCGUUCGAUUAACCUUCAGAUGCAAAAGCAGCCCAAAAAUUUUCGACACGUUAUCAGAAGCCGUUUGCUGGAUUUUGUCUAAUAAUUAUGCUAUUCCCCACUUUAUUCACCUCCUAGACGACUUCCUGGUCAUCUCACCUCCCAACGCAAUCCCAGCCGCCCACAUUCUCACAGUCCAAAAAGUUUUUUCCGAGCUUGGGAUCCCUAUCGCUCAGGAAAAAACAAUGGGCCCCGCUACAUCCAUCAAAUUCCUAGGUAUCAACUUAGACUCAGUCAAAUUUCAGCUUUCUCUGCCUAAGGAAAAGAUUGAUAGAAUAAUCCUCGUCACGUCUACCCUCCUCGACAGCCCAAGUUGUUCUAAACGCGAACUCCUUUCUCAGUUCGGGCACUUAAAAUUCGCCAUGCGCAUCAUUCCCCAGGGCCGCCCUUUCAUCUCGCAUCUUCUCUCACUUGCGUCAUCCGUACACGGGCUCGAGGAACGCAUUUCCCUAUCUAACUCAUGCCGCAACGAACUUAAGUUAUGGAUAAUGUUCCUUAAACAGUGGAAUGGCCUUUUCCUUUUUUACAGCAACCAAAUUUCAUCUCCCGUCGACAUCCAACUAUUUACAGACGCAGCCCCUUCAAUUGGCUUCGGAGGGUUUUACCAAGGACGUUGGUUUGCGGCUCCAUGGUCCCCCCAGCUGCAGGGCACCCCUCUGUCCUCAGCCUUCUUUAAGCUCUACCCCCUGGUGGUAGCAGCCUCUCUGUGGGGAAACGAAUGGGCCUCUAAAAGUAUCUUAGUACACUGCGACAACGAAGCAGCCUUUCAGUGUAUUAACACAGGCCGCUCUCAUUCUCCUGCCCUUAUGCCUCUCCUUAGACGCUUAACGUGGAUAGCAGCAUGCGACCAAUUCAUAAUAAUUGCUAAACAUAUUCCAGGUUCAGAAAAUCAAAUUGCUGACUCUCUGUCUCGCUUUCUGUUUCAGAAAUUCAGGACGCUGGUUCCAGAGGCGGACCAAUUCCCUACUCCAGAACCUCAUUAUUCAGAAUUAAUAUUCCCGUAA
ensembl:lncRNA